rnacentral:rRNA from 1 species
AUGGAGCUGCAGACGUCGGGGCGGCCCAUCGAGGUGCUGAUGGAGAAGGUGCUGUCGAUGAACAUCGUCUCCUCGGACUACUUCAAGGAGCUCUACAAGAUCAAGACCUACCACGAGGUCAUCGACGAGAUCUACAACCAGGUGGACCACGUCGAGCCCUGGAUGACGGGCAACUGCCGCGGCCCCUCCACCGCCUUCUGCCUCCUCUACAAGCUCUUCACCAUGAAGCUCACCGUCAACCAGAUGCACGGCCUGCUCAAGCACCCGGACUCCCCCUACAUCAGAGCUAUUGGGUUUCUGUACCUGCGCUAUGCCGCGGACCCAAAGACCUUAUGGACCUGGUAUGAGCCCUACAUUCAAGAUGACGAGGAGUUUUCCCCUGGAUCCAAUGGUAAAAUGACAACUAUGGGCGUUUAUGUGCGUGAUGUCAUCCUUGGUCAGUACUACUUCGACAGUCUUCUUCCACGAGUGCCUCUCCUAAUUCUGCGACAGGUUACUGCCCAUCUGGAGAAAAUGAAGCUCCCAACAAAGCAGUCAGGGAUAACUGGGGAUUCUAGCCGCCUUGGUUCAGAUGAUACUGCCCGGCGGCCUCCUUCAGUGAAGGCUUCUCUGUCCGUCUCUUUUGGUCAGCGUGCUCCACACCGUGCAUCCACAAGGGAUUCAUCCCCAGUCCGAAAGACAUUGCCUUCUGUACGAGAAAGGGAAAGGAGUCAUGAUGGCAGUCAUGCCAAAUCUCCACCCAGGAAGCACCGAAGUCAGAGUCGUGAGCGCAGCCGUGACAUUGAGAGGGACCGUUCAGAUCGCGAUCGUGGUAGGUACAAGGAUAGGGAGCAUGGUCGGCACAGCCGUGAUAACAGAGACCGUGACUACCGCCGCUCAAGCUAUUCUGAUAGGGAUGUUGAGAGGCGCGGCCAUGAAAGGAGGGAUAGGGACUCCGACCGAAACGGGCGUUCGAGUGGCCGCAGAAGCAGGAGCAGGAGCAGGAGUCCAAGCCGUGGCAGAACCAACGGGGACAGCCACCGCUCCAGCCCGUUUGGUAAAGCGCCGGAGUCAUCAAACCUGGCGAAGCUGAAGGAUCUAUACGGUGACGCGACGAACGCGAAGGACGACGCCGGCGACGACAGAUCUCGCAGGGACUCCGGAACUGAAGAGGUGAUCAGAUUGGGAGGCGCCAGGUGGAGGUGA